rnacentral:rRNA from 1 species
CCCUUAGAUGUCCGGGGCCGCACGCGCGCUACACUGAAGGAAUCAGCGUGGCUUUCUCCCUGACCCGAAAGGGUUGGGAAACCCGUUGAAUCUCCUUCGUGAUAGGGAUUGGGGCUUGAAAUUGUGCCCCAUGAACGAGGAAUUCCCAGUAAGCGCGAGUCAUAAGCUCGCGUUGAUUACGUCCCUGCCCUUUGUACACACCGCCCGUCGCUACUACCGAUUGAACGGUUUAGUGAGGGCCUCGGAUUGGUCUCGGCCCGCUCUUUACCGGGCGGCGCCGUUGGUCGAGAAGACGCUCGAACUUGAUCGUUUAGAGGAAGUAAAAGUCGUAACA